GCCCUUGGAAGGGAUGUAUUUAUUAGAUUAAAAACCAAUGCCCUUCGGGGCUCACUGGUGAUUCGUGAUAACUCCUCGAAUCGCAUGGCCUUGUGCCGGCGAUGGUUCAUUCAAAUUUCUUCCCUAUCAACUUUCGAUGUUUGGGUAUUGGCCAAACAUGGUUGCAACGGGUAACGGAGGGUUAGGGCUCGACCCCGGAGAAGGAGCCUGAGAAACGGCUACUACAUCCAAGGAAGGCAGCAGGCGCGCAAAUUACCCAAUCCCGACACGGGGAGGUAGUGACAAUAAAUACUGAUACAGGGCUCUUUUGGGUCUUGUAAUUGGAAUGAGUACAAUUUAAAUCCCUUAACGAGGAACAAUUGGAGGGCAAGUCUGGUGCCAGCAGCCGCGGUAAUUCCAGCUCCAAUAGCGUAUAUUAAAGUUGUUGUGGUUAAAAAGCUCGUAGUUGAACCUUGGGCCUGGCUGGCCGGUCCGCCUCACCGCGUGUACCGGUCCGGCCGGGCCUUUCCCUCUGUGGAACCCCAUGCCCUUCACUGGGUGUGGCGGGGAACCAGGACUUUUACAAGGGC
rnacentral:rRNA from 1 species